AUUGAACGCUGGCGGCAUGCUUUACACAUGCAAGUCGAACGGCAGCACGGAGAAGCUUGCUUCUCUGGUGGCGAGUGGCGAACGGGUGAGUAAUAUAUCGGAACGUGUCCAAUAAUGGGGGAUAACUAGUCGAAAGAUUAGCUAAUACCGCAUACGCCCUGAGGGGGAAAGUGGGGGAUCUUCGGACCUCACGUUAAUGGAGCGGCCGAUAUCUGAUUAGCUAGUUGGUAGGGUAAAAGCCUACCAAGGCGACGAUCAGUAGCUGGUCUGAGAGGAUGAUCAGCCACACUGGGACUGAGACACGGCCCAGACUCCUACGGGAGGCAGCAGUGGGGAAUUUUGGACAAUGGGCGCAAGCCUGAUCCAGCCAUGCCGCGUGAGUGAAGAAGGCCUUCGGGUUGUAAAGCUCUUUCGCAAGGAAAGAAAACUUACAUGUAAAUAAUGUGUGAGGUUGACGGUACC
rnacentral:rRNA from 1 species